rnacentral:lncRNA from 1 species
UGGUAUCUUUUGGACAUGUUUGGGUGAAAUCGGAGUGAAAACGAAAACUUUAGAAUUUUCUGUAAAGAACGGGACUGAGAAAAUUAGCAGAAAAUGCACAGUGUCAGAAAAUUAUGAAAACUGGCAGAGAUGUCAGGAACAUUUUUAUGAGGCUAGAUUUGAAGUUUCAGAUUUUUCUGACACCUGUAGAGAGAGAAAUAGCAUCUGGAAGUUAUCGGAUAAAGAUUACAGUUCGGGACAGUUCGCAGUGACCAAACGGGGUCGAAACUGAAAUGUUAAAAUUUCAGUGGACUUGUUAAGUAAAACCGAGCAUGCCUGUCAAAUUUGAGCUCAAUCGGACAUUUGGAAGGGCCUGCGAAAGGUAUCUGAUCCGAGUUGCUAAACGGAUUAGUAGAAGGGCAUUAUGGUAAUUAUUCCAUUACUUAGUGGAUUUCCACUAAGCUGCCAGGGGCAUCUUUAUCCUCUUCACCCUCCUGUACGCAUGAGAGAGAGAGUGAAAGGAAGAGAAAAGGAAUAGAGAGAAGAAGAAGAAGAAAGUAACAUAUUUUGGUGCCGUUUGUCGAGCCGAUCGAUUCCCCGCGCGCGUUGGAUUUUUCCGGCGCUUCGAUUGCGAAGUUAGUAUUCUAUUAUUAUGGUUUCAAAUCAGGUUUUGGUGAAUUCUUGACAGUGGAUGCUAAGAAAGGUGUUCUAGAUGGAUUUUCAUUGAAAUUGAAGUUUAGAAUUGAAUCUAUGCUAAAAUUAAAGUUCAGAAAUCGAUUUCUAUGUGAUUUAGAAGCCGAUUUUGCGAGCGUUUCGUCGACGGAUUUUUCCGUGACUUUCGGAUUGUUGUGGCUGCCAUGCGGAUUGGGUUUGGGCUGUGAGGUUGCUGCCAAGUGCAGGAAUUGCAUUGAUUAAUCUUGAUUAAAUGGAUCAAGAUAAUGCAAUAAAUAAAGUUGGUUUGUUCUUGGAUUAAAUUGGAAGCUCGUGGAGGUUCAUUAGUAUAUUGUGGAAGUGAUUAGAGGUGCUCGAAGUGGAUUGAAGUGCUGAAAUGGGCUGCUAUUGUUGCUGCUGCUGUUGUCUAGUGCAAAGAAAGGGGCUGCAGGGACUGUUUUGUAAAAAAAAAACUGCAGGGACUGUUUUGUAAACCAGAAUUUCAGCAUUGUGUGUUGGGUGUUGGCCUUGGCAGCUAGGAGUAAACAACCAGCUCUUAUGCAGGUUUUGAUUAGGGAUUGAUGUAAAUCUCUUCAAUCUCUUCGUUGAAGGUCUUUGGGGUAUUGGAACUUCGAUUGGGGUAUAGAAAAGCUAUAUGUUGUGUAAAUAACAUAUGAGCUUUUAGGUUGAUGUGAAGCUUUAGGAAUGAGAAAUAACAGGAGUUGAUUUCUAAUAUUCCUAAGUUAGUGGCUUCGAGUUUGUCGGAUUAAUGAAGCCUAGGUUUCUAUAAAGGUUCUUAUAGAACCUGUAUAGAAACAGGUUGUAUUAAGUGUAGAGUGUGUAUAGUGAUAGGUUAAUUGGAACCUAAACUUGAUAAUGCACUUUUGCAGGAUAGAAGUCCUAAUGUGAAAUUGACCGCGUACAAACCUAAUUGAGGGUAAAGGAAACGCGUUGGCGAAGUCGGUUCGGCAAUCCGUCGAGCCUACGCGAAGAUAUCGCCGAAAGAAGAUUUUUCGGCUACAAUUGGCACGAGCGCGGGUCGCGAAUCUCGGGAAAGCGCGGGAAGCGAAUUUCUCGCGUCCAGGUAUCAACUAAAGGUGGGUUGUGCUUUACCGAAGUGAUUAGGUCACUUCCAUGCCAAAGUAAAUCGUGGUUUCAUUUGAUGCAUAUAUGAAUGAAAUUGUCGAAAUGUAAACAUAGAUGCUAAAGCAUACAUAAUUGUUGACACAUGAAAGCGAACAUUUGAUGCAUAUGUCUAAACAUACAUGAAUAUGAAUAUGGAUGAUCAUGUUAGAUAAUAUAUGACCAUUGACAUAUGAAUGCUAGAUGCCUAUGAAUGCAUGAGUGGUAAAUACUAGAGACAUAAGAAUAAAUAUAUAUGAAUAUGAAUCUCAUGCUAGAUGAUACAUGAUGAUUGUCAUAUGACGAACAUGCUAGACGCAUACGAAUGCAUUGUAGUUCAUGCUAAAUGCAUAGGAUUGUCGGUAUAUGAACAUAUGAAUGAUAAAUGAUAUAUGAAUGUUGAACAUGCUAAAGUCACAUAAGUUGAAUAUAAAACGUGUAAACCAUAAUCCUAGGAAUGGACAACUAGGAUCAUACAUAGAUCGAGUGGCAUGGCAUGAACCUAGGGUUAUUAAACGUAGGUUGGAUAUGAAAUGAACCUAGUGUUAUUAACCAUAGGUUGGACAUAAAAUGAACCGAGUGUUAUUAAACAUAGGUUAAAUAAGAAUGAUGUUAAACCUAAUUUAAAGAACAUAGGUUGUGAAAUGAAAAGUGCUUAACCUAGAGUCAAGUGAACCUAGGUUGGAAAGAAUGAUGGUCCUAGGGAUAAUAAACCUAGGCUAAGAAUAUAAUAAGAAUCGAACCUAAAGUGUUAAAUUAGGUCGAGUAAAGACUUGGACCUAGAUCGGUCGAUUCCAUAGGGUUAAGACUAACCCUCGAAUAAUGUGAAAUGGAUUCCGGAAUCUCAAAGCUUGUUGAUACACCCAAAGGGGUGUCGGGUGUGUGCGACGAUUUCGCCGCCCAAGGGCUAAAGAACCAUUGUCGUGGCGUGUGCGACGAUUUCGCCGCCGGAUGGUUAGCCAGUUUAUGGAUCCUACCGCCUGUUGACUGAACCACUGUCGUGGCGUUGUGCGACGAUUUCGCCGCCGGGUGGCUAAGUCAUUUACCUAGGCCGUUGUUGGGUGAGGUGCGAUUGUUCGCCACCAGACGGCUAGGACAGGAGUACGGUGAGCUGUUGCCAGCUGAGGUGCAUGUGAGAGUUCCUUCACCUCGAGCUAGACAGUGCGCGGACUAUCCGCGAUUGAUUGACUCAAGACCGAGUCGGGUGGCUAGAUGACUAAGGUAAAGUAAUCUUAGGAAAGAAUCGCCAGUGAGCACAAUAUGAUAAAGAAUAAAGAAUAAAAAUAAAGAAUAGCUAAUGAACGUAAAUAGCUAAUAAAGAACGGCUACAAGUAAAGAAUGGUUAAAGAUAUAAAGUAGGAUCAGUAGAUCUACUUGUUACAUAGUUGCAUGAUUUACAUAUUGCAUAUCGCGAGGCAAGGUAUGGUUUUAUUAAUUGUAUCAUCGAAUAUCUAUCUAUCUGUUCAGUUUACUAACCUGCAGUUGCCUCCUUUGGACCUGGUGGGUCGAGCUCUUCCCUUGGGUGGCCGUACCCACUGGGAACUAUAUUUAUAUAGUUCUCACCCCCGUGUUGUUUUGGGGGUACAGGUUAGCACGUGAGCGGCGCGGCGGCGCGAGGACAGGGCGUAGCUCCGUAGAUAGCGCCCUACCACCGAGACCAGAGAUAGCAGUACCUUGAAGUGGUCUAGCAUCAGAGUUUAGAGUGUAAAUUGAAAGAAUCAAAUUUGUAGUAAAUUGUAUAAGUUGUAAAUUGUAAAAUUGUAUAGAGGCUUAUGUAAUAACUUAAAGGUAUUUGAGAUUUUGUAAAUGUAAAAUCUGUGAGAUGAAUGCUUGUAAUAGCAUUGUUAGCCUUUUAUGUUUUUUGAUACUUAUACAAUCUAUGUGUGAAUGCUGUUCCUGGUUGGGACCUCUUCUGUUGCAUUAUAUGGAUUGUGACGCCUAGGACGUACAGGGAAAGCUCUGUCCGUUCGGCGGUCUGUCGGCGUGCCCGAAUCUGACCAAAUUGGCGGAGCUCGGGGCGUGACAGAUUAAGUGGUAUCAGAGCAUAAAAGAGCAUAAAAAGAAUAAUAGAAACGGUUUAGAUGGACCUAGGAGACCUAGGAUAGUAAACCGUAAGGACUUACACUCGUGAGAGACGAGGACUUGUACGUGUGGCGAAAGAUAAAUCGAUUGGGUCAAGUUUAGUAAACCUCUAUGACGGAUAUUAGAGGUAGAUUCAAGGUUCAAUUUAUUCUCAGCCAAGUGAGUUCAUGUUGGGUCGACACAACAUGAAACCGAGGGAUGGGAAUAAACUUCCUUGCAUGACUUUCGCCCGAUUUGAGUCGGUAUUAAUUAUUUCGUAUUCGACCCAGGAGGUCGAGGACUAACUGAGUUGUCGUGUUUCAGGAAGCGAUGGCGCCGCGUAGGCGAUCUUCGUCUAGAUCGGCGCGGGAUAGGACAAGUGGUGUCCCUGAGAAGACUGAGGCGAGCGGAGACUUGGAGCUUCGUGAGCAGUUGACCACACUCGUGGGAGUGGUGAGGCAACAGGCGGAUGUAGUGCAGCGUCAGCAGGACGCUGCUCUGCGCCAAGAUGAGCGGAUAAAGAGACUCCAGGAGACGGUGGAUCAGUUAGUGACUGCACCAGUUUUGGCUCGUCGUGUACGGCCAGGAGUCGCAGCGGAGGCAUUCCAGUCGGGCUCGAGCAAUCCGACUGCUCUUAGUUCAGAGAUGGAAGCGGAAAGGGAGCGUGCUUUGGCGGCUCUCAUGACCUUCAAGAAGUUUGAUCCUACUACUUUCGAUGGAGAGGACAUAGAUCCAUGGACUGUGGAGUCGUGGAUUGAUUCCAUAGAGACUGUCUUCGAGGAUUUGUACAUGGUGGAGCGGGACAAGGUACACCUAGCCGUGCAUUGUCUACAAUUGUCGGCGAAGGAAUGGUGGAAAGGCGUUAAACGGAACCGAUCGCCUAGUCUCCCUCCGAUGACUUGGCAAGAAUUUCGGGAGUUGAUACUUUCAGUUUAUUUCCCCGAUAGUGAAAAGAGAAAGCUUCGGGACAGAUUUCGAAAAUUGCGGCAGGGAGACCGCCUUGUGAGGGAAUACGAGCAGGAAUUCUCUCGUAUCGUGAACUAUAUUCCAAGUGUGGUACGGGACGACAAGGAUCGAGCUGAUUGUUUUGUACGAGGACUUCGGCCUGGUAUUUUUGAAGCAGUGCAUAAUCUAAAGUUGCAGACUUUUGCUGAAGUCUUGGAUCGGGCCUUAUGGAUAGAACAAGGCAAUGCAUCGGUGCAGGAGGAGCGCGAAUCUUAUUACAAGGAAAAAGGAAAAGAACGACCAGCGAGUGGGUAUGAUGGUCAGUCAAGUUCUCAGCGGACCACUGGGAGUUCGCGCUCGCGAUCCCGAGCUCCGGGGACGUAUCGCAGUCGAUCCUCGGCAUGUUGUGUUAUUUGUGGGGGUCCUCACUACCCACAGCAGUGUGAGCAACGAGAUGGCAAGUGCUUCAGGUGUGGGCGGCCAGGUCAUGCGCGGGACGAGUGUCCACGAGGUGCUAACCAAGCCUUGACGCUGGCGACGGCAUUUUCACCUGCGGCACGGUUUGGAGAGCGACAGAGGAUAAGGCAACCGAGGGGUUCGCGAUGGGCAACAAGUGGUCGUGGAUAGGCGACCCAUGCGGUGGAACCUGCUGCGACUGGUAGUAAUGUAGCAGGUAUGAGUUAAUUACAGCAAGCAUGUUUUCUGCAUUAUGUAAAUUUAGUGCAUUGCAUGCAUUGAUUACGUAGUCGUUACUACUAAUUGUGCGGUAGUAUUGCAGAGACCAAGCAGACGGGUAAAUGUCCCAGUUAUGCUUGUGUAUGUAAGUUGUGGUAUCUGUUGAGGCAGGCAGAGAGUUCUAGAACACUAGCAAUCGCUGGUGAUAGCUUGUGAAUAAAGAGUGGAACUCUUGUGAGACCGAGCGUUUUGCAGAUUGUUCCGGUAGAUCGAAUAGUGAAAGUAGAAUCACUAUUGAGGAAAUGAUCGGUUAACGGUCAGGUGCGUGCACGUGGACCUAGUAGUACCUCGGAUUGAGGUAAGUGGGUCGUGCUCGUGUAGUCGGUGUGCAUAGGCAAGAGUUGCCUGAUGCUAGAUUUAGUAUAGCACGCUAUAGAGUCGUGUAGAGCACUCGAGUAUAGGUACUCAUAGAGUGUGGAUUUGAUUCAGCCGUGAGUGCUUUGGCAGUAGCACUUUAGCGCUACUAAGGGUGAAGCGUGCCAGAGGUCACUCGCAGGGCUGGUGGCUCGCACUAGGUGCUUAAGAGCCGUUAGAGUGUGUAGCUCUGUAGAGCAUGUCGUGUAGGACGAUGUUGGCGGGUAGUGCUUGGGGACGAUCCGUGCCUGGACCAAAUGUGGACUGUGGAGCCUGGACCCAUUGGGCAGGCGCAGUCAGCUGUGAGAGGCAGCGGCCCGGUACCUACGGGUAGGGUAGAGAGAUUUGGUCAGGACGGUAGUCCGAGCAUGGAUUGGUAACGUGGUAAAUCACGUAUUGAAUCGUGUUGUUGGUAGUAUGCCUGGAAGGCAGAUUUGACCUAACCCUAAGAUUUAUAGUGGUUAGAGAUUGAAAUUACUCCUAGUUGGAGUAGGUAUGCGAUAUCUCAAAUAAGAACUGUGUCUCGCGAUAAUUGGGUCUACGCUUGCGAGCGAGAGACGUUGAGUUAAGUGAUAAGUCUAGCAAAUCGCCGAUCUGAUUUGCGAACAGAUUUGUGGUAAUUGAGACAAGUAGUUUACCCAUGUGUUUAGGGACCGUGAGAGCGAAGGCUUGGUCCUGUGGAUUAUUUAGUCAGAAUUGCUAAGAUAAGCAUCGAUGACGAGCUGAGAUUGGAAACGCAAACAAAGUGUUCGUAGAGACUGAUUCGGAGGAAUCGGGGUAGCAUGGACUGAAAUUCAGAAGCUAUGGAAUGAAGUUGAGAAACUUUGGAAGAGGGUUGAAAUUUAUCUCCAUCCGUUAAGUAAUGAGGAAUAAGAUGUAUCUGAGUUUCGCGGACGAAACUUUUGUUAACGGGAGGAGAAUGUAACAUAUGGAAACUUGGAGUUGCGAUGUCAACUUUGACCUAGAGGGUCAAAGUGAGGAUUGAGCUAGUUGGACAUCAUCCCCGAGUGAUUUGUGAUGCGUGUGAAUGAAUUCUGGAGAUAAAUAAGUGUUUCGGCGCAAAUUGGGCGCGAAACGAAAUGUAAAGAGAGUAAAGAGAAUUUUCGAAAUUCCGAUGCUAACUUUGAUUAAAAGAAUUAAAAUAAGGCGUAAGGAUAAAUUGUGGUAUCUCCGAAUCAAUUGUGAAGUUUUGGUAAAGCCAAGGGUGUGUUUUCACAGGGUUUGAAGAGCUCAGUGCGAAGUGGUAGUGCAAAAAGGCCAUGUAAUGGAAUUGGAGCCGAUUCUAUUUCUAAUUCGGCUCAAAUAAUGUCAAAAUGAAAACGAAUUGCUUCCAAAUUGGAUUGGUAGCUUGUGAAGGUCCCUUGGUAUCUUUUGGACAUGUUUGGGUGAAAUCGGAGUGAAAACGAAAACUUUAGAAUUUUCUGUAAAGAACGGGACUGAGAAAAUUAGCAGAAAAUGCACAGUGUCAGAAAAUUAUGAAAACUGGCAGAGAUGUCAGGAACAUUUUUAUGAGGCUAGAUUUGAAGUUUCAGAUUUUUCUGACACCUGUAGAGAGAGAAAUAGCAUUUGGAAGUUAUCGGAUAAAGAUUACAGUUCGGGACAGUUCGCAGUGACCAAACGGGGUCGAAACUGAA